AUAAUACUUCGCGCAAGUGAAGUGUGUAGGUCUGUGGGGGAUUUCUGCACGGGUAAAAGCAGCA
rnacentral:ncRNA from 1 species